rnacentral:rRNA from 1 species
UGGCGGACGGGUGAGUAACGCGUGGGGAACCUGCCCUGUACCGGGGGAUAGCAGCCGGAAACGGCUGAUAAUACCGCAUAAGCGCACGAAUGUCGCAUGACAUGGUGUGAAAAACUCCGGUGGUAUAGGAUGGACCCGCGUCUGAUUAGCCGGUUGGUGGGGUAAAAGCCUACCAAAGCGAAGAUCAGUAGCCGAGUUGAGAGACUGACCGGCCACAUUGGGACUGAGACACGGCCCAGACUCCUACGGGAGGCAGCAGUA